CAUCAGUGUAAGAUGUGACUUGCUUCUCCUUGUCUUCUGCCACGAUUGUGAGGCCUCCCCAACCACAUGGAACUGUGGAGUGUGUUACUCUUGGGGCUGGAAUGAGCAUGGCAUGUGCGGAGAUGGCACUGAAGCCAACGUCUGGGCCCCGAAGCCGGUGCAGGCUCUGCUGUCAUUGUCAGGACUCCUUGUGGGCUGUGGGGCUGGCCACUCCUUGGCCCUCUGCCAGCUGCCAGCUCACCCUGCAUUGGUCCAGGACCCCAAGGUCACCUACCUUUCCCCAGAUGCCACCAAGGACACUGAAUCUCAGGAAGCCAUGGACAAAGAGAGAAACUGGAAGGAAAGACAAUCAGAAACUUCAACCCAAAGCCAAUCUGACUGGUCCAGAAAUGGGGGACUGUGAUAGAGAAUCUUUAAUAAAGUGGCUUUUCUCACCAAAA
rnacentral:sRNA from 1 species